AGUGAACGCUGGCGGUAGGCCUAACACAUGCAAGUCGAACGGCAGCACAGUAAGAGCUUGCUCUUACGGGUGGCGAGUGGCGGAUGGGUGAGGAAUACAUCGGAAUCUACUUUUUCGUGGGGGAUAACGUAGGGAAACUUACGCUAAUACCGCAUACGACCUACGGGUGAAAGCAGGGGAUCUUCGGACCUUGCGCGAUUGAAUGAGCCGAUGUCGGAUUAGCUAGUUGGCGGGGUAAAGGCCCACCAAGGCGACGAUCCGUAGCUGGUCUGAGAGGAUGAUCAGCCACACUGGAACUGAGACACGGUCCAGACUCCUACGGGAGGCAGCAGUGGGGAAUAUUGGACAAUGGGCGCAAGCCUGAUCCAGCGAUACCGCGUGGGUGAAGAAGGCCUUCGGGUUGUAAAGCCCUUUUGUUGGGAAAGAAAAGCAGCAGGUUAAUACCCCGCUGUUCUGACGGUACCCAAAGAAUAAGCACCGGCUAACUUCGUG
rnacentral:rRNA from 1 species